rnacentral:tRNA from 1 species
AGCACUAUACUUUAAUUUAAAAGACCAUGUUUGCAACUUGAAAAUAGGCUUCGGCUUUGGUGCUA